rnacentral:lncRNA from 1 species
AUGCCUGCAGAGCUCACCCAGCCCUCAGCCCCACACCGGGCUGCUGCUUCCCUCCAUCAGAGCACGGCACAAGGACGAACCCGGGGGACGCGUUUUGAGCCCCAGACCACCACGCUCACCCCCCUGCACCCGCCACCGGCAAGGUCUGAGCACAUUGCCCACAGCAAAUGCAAUCACACCAAGAGCCCAAGCACCCGCGGUCCCAAACCCACUGAGCUCACUGAGAGCCCACUCCCCUUGCCCGGGCUCCACGUGAACAAGGGGAAGAGGUCCUGCACCCGCUGCAUCCCACCCAGCCUCAGGCCGCACCUCGCGGUGCACGGCUCAGCACCACCCGCAGAGGUGACCGUCCCCAGCAGCCACAAUCACCGGGGUCUGCAGGACCGGGUUCCCCCACCCCACUCCAAACAGGGGACGAUGGCGCACGCAGACACUGACCGUUCCUCUGCAUGGCCUCGAGCCGCCCGCCACAGCCCGGCGCUGCGCGGUGUGCACACCUUCAGUGGGAGAAGCCGCAGUCCCAGCAGCUCUGGUGCUCCCGGCCCGCUCGCUGCCGUACCCCGAGGAGCAGCGGGCGGUGCCGCUGGAGGAGGACCCGCUGUGGGACACCGGCAGCCCGCGCCCAUCGCCCUGCCCAGCACCAGGCGAUGGCAGCUCCGGGGACUUCCCGACACCAGGAUUUUCCAGCUGCUCCACCAUGGGGGACGGCGUAGACAGUUCCGAAACGGUGCCCGGCUCCGCAGCGGAGGUCCAUGCAGCACUGGAGCUUGGCUCCCCGCUGCCCCCUCUCCCCCACGUCCCUGGCGUGCUGCUGGCUGCCGGCUCCCAGCUCCACGCCGGCUGCUCUCUGCGCACGGGGCUGGCGGGGGACCCCUCGGUGCGGUGCUUCCCGAGCCCAUCGGGGCCGCGUGGCAGCGGCAGCAGCACAGCCCUGGUGCUGCCCGUCCCACCGCGCUGCAUCUGGACCAGGCGGCUCACGGCCCGCUCGCAGCCCUGCUCGGCGGGGUUCUCCAGCAGGCGGGCGAUGACGGUCGUGCCCUCCUCGGGGGAAUCCCCCGCCGUCUGCGCGCCCCUCGGCUCCAGCACCAGGUGGGCUUUCUGCAGCUCCCCCUGGAACCUCUCCUUCACUUGCACGAUGCGCCCGGGGUCCCCCCCUGGGUGCUGGUUCCCAUCGGGCUCCUCGUGCUGCGGUGCUGCCUCCAACUUCGGAUCCUCAUCCUCCCCGGGCACCGCCGCGGCCGGCAGCUCCUCCUGCGGGGCCACCGCCGGCACCGCUCUCUUCUUCCCCCUCCUCCUCCGUUUGAAGCGGACCCUUUUUUUAGGGGGCAGCGGAGCCAUCCCGGCAGCUUUUUCUUUCGGCUCUUUAACGCAGCCCAGAGAAUUCCCCAUCUCCUCGGCGCCGAAAGCACCGGGAACGCCGCCACCGCUGCCGCCGCUCUUCUGCUCGCCGGCUCCCAAAAAAACCCCGGUGUCAGCUUCAUGGGCUCAGCGCACGUUUCGCACCGCGCAGCGCUGCGGACGGCCCCCGGCAUCCCCGCACGCCCGCCCGCCGCCGCCAGCCAUCUUACAGCCCGAGCUGCAGCGAGACACAUUCAAAGCAUCUCACUGCAGUUCAGAAAUCACUUGACCUAA